rnacentral:rRNA from 1 species
CAGCAACGGAUCUCUUGGCUCUCGCAUCGAUGAAGAACGCAGCGAAAUGCGAUAAGUAAUGUGAAUUGCAGAAUUCAGUGAAUCAUCGAAUCUUUGAACGCACCUUGCGCUCCUUGGUAUUCCGAGGAGCAUGCCUGUUUGAGUGUCAUUA